UUUAUCCAAUUCUCAGGAUUCUUGCUCAGGGUUUACAUGUUUUGGUUUAAAUAUGAAAUAUGUACAACCGUGAGUGGAGACCUGGAGGUUGGUCAGU
rnacentral:pre_miRNA from 1 species